rnacentral:rRNA from 1 species
UACGUAGGGUGCAAGCGUUGUCCGGAAUUAUUGGGCGUAAAGCGCUCGUAGGCGGUUUGUCGCGUCGGCUGUGAAAUCCCGAGGCUCAACCUCGGGACUGCAGUCGAUACGGGCAAACUAGAGUAUUGCAGGGGAGACUGGAAUUCCUGGUGUAGCGGUGAAAUGCGCAGAUAUCAGGAGGAACACCGGUGGCGAAGGCGGGUCGCUGGGCCGGUACUGACGCUGAGAAGCGAAAGCGUGGGGAGCGAACAGG